UAACAAACCUUGUCAUUAUUUUUCAGGUGAUUCAGGUGAUUGCAGAAAUGCCAUUUAACCAGCCAGCACAAAAGGUUUGGUUAAAUAUUUGUGUCUGAACUCCCAGGACCCAAAACACAACUCAGUUGACUCAGGACCAGGCCACUGACAUAACUGCUCUCCAGUCAUUUAGGGCGUACGACAGAUUGCUAUGUAUUGGCUCGGUCUCUGAAAGGGCAAGGAAGUUCAGGCCUUAUCACCUGUUGUGCGAUCUGUACGGUGACCUCAGCAGUAAAGCACUCUGUUGUUCCUGUUGCUGAUCAUCUUUGAAGAGAGCUUAGCUUUAAAUGAUAGUCAGGAUUAAAUGAGAAGAGGCCCUUCCCCAAGCCAGGCAGCGAAAGUCAGGAAUUGGGACAGUAAGUUGACAAGUGCAUGUGCUUUGCAAACAGCGCACAUCACAAAGACAGUUGUCAAUGGGCAAAUUCACCAACUGACAAUAUUAAAUCUCAGAAAAGUUCAGCAAUCGUUGAGUAGCAAAACCUUUGGCUACACUUUCAGAUCUCUGUUAACUACUACAAUACAGAAAAUAGAUGAAAUAUCAUAGAAUCGGUCAGGUUGGAAAAGACCUUAAAGAUCAUCGAGUGCAACCACGACCUAACCAUGCUACCUAACUCUAACAACCCUCCGCUAAAUCGUGUCCCUGAUCACCACAUCCAAUGCGACCUGCUAAAUGACUUACUCGGCCUUAUGGUUGACCUGAAUGAGGAGGUGGAGAGGCUGAGGAGCGUAAGGGAAUGUGAGAGGGAGAUUGCUUGGUGAUGCCAAACGCUAUCGGCCCCGAGAUCUUGGCAGUCAGCUGAGGCUCCACAUGGAGCGCGUCACCCCCUGCCGCCUUGCAAACAGGUGACAGAGGGGACCCAGCAGGCAGAUAGUGUUCCUGCUGCCGUGAACCCCCUGUCCUCUCCUCCCCCUAGGAACAGUGGUGAAGAAUCGAGGGAUGUGGUGCAGUGGCAAAAGUCCCCUGCUUGGCAAUGCAGGCGUGCCCUCCCAGAGAUCUCCCUGCCUCCCCAGCUGCCCCUGCGGAACAGGUGGGCAGCGAUGAUACAGGAAGAACUUCCCUGAAGACUGUGAAAAAGGACUCCAGAGCCUUGGGGUGACAGGGAUUGGCCGGCUGUCACAGCCCGAUAGUUCGUGACCUGCAUUCCACGAGGAACAAGAACUUGCACGAACUCACUGGAUUAGGAGGUGGACAAACGAAGAUCUUCUGGCGGGACACCAGCAGCAGUGGUUUGGAAGUGCAAAGUACAUUGCAACCUCAGGAUACAGCUUUUAAGGAAGAACUGCGAUUGCUUAUUUCAUCCAAGUGUGCUUGACGGCAUCUGCCAAUUAAGUGAUGGUGAAGAAAAGAAGUAUCACCGCCCUUUUUUUACAGCAUGAAGUGUUUUUCUAAGUCUGCAUCAAGUUUCCCCAAGCCCUUAGACUCAAUACCUUAACUAGAUUCAUCCUUAUGCCAUUAUGACUCAUGCCAUAAUUGACCCACCUACGCUGUACUGCUGGAAGAAAUGCUGGUAAUAGCGCAUGGAUGCUUUUGUUGUUGCUGAGCAUUGCUUACACGGAAUACGUUGCUAUGCAGCGAGGGAGGCCUUUAAUUCACCUGGUGACAGAGCUGAGAGGAAGGAAGUGGAAUAACUGUAGCUCCAGCAGAAGCUAAUGCCAGUAUCACCAUACCAUUCAGUCUCCUUGACAGGACCUGGACUCCUCUCUAUUCCUCUUUUCAUCUCAAACUCAUUGACCAUCUCCUCCCAUCUGUCUCGCUUGGAGAAAUAAACAGCAUCCCCUUCUAGCAGAUGGACCUGGGGGAGAUCAGGAAGGUCCGACACAUCAGCAGCGCGCUGCUGGAGAUCAGGGUCAGUCUCUGCAACCAUGCUGUACGUGUGGCUGCAGAGUCCUCGUCUGAGGCAUCGCUCCUGAAGUAGACAGAGUCAUAGUCCUCUGUGUCAGUGCUAUCGGAGACUGCUGCAAGCGUGAUGGCCUCUGAUCUCCUUGGGAGAAAGGAGAGAAAAAGUGAUACCCGCAUCCUGCCGCUGGGGUGACCUGGCUGGCCCUGCGCCUUCAGAAAGGAACAUCUCUUCUGGACAUGUUCACGUACUGGCUAAGUUGGGUUUGUCCAGCAAAAAGUAGUAUCUUCCCACUCUGCAGAAACUGGUGAGUCUGCAGGUGAAGGAGGCAGACGCCUGUUUUUCUACUUCUGCACAUUAUUUGUACAUAGACUGAAAAGAAACAAUAUAAACUUAUUAGGAAGCAGAGGGCAUAUCUCCAUGCCUGGGGGAAUUUGGUGAAGGCAAAUGCAGCAAAAGGUAUGGUUCUAAAACAACGCCUCUGGCAGUAAAAUAUUAGUAAAAUAUUAACAUUAUUAUAUUGUUGGUGCAUGAACAACUGCCCUUCUGCUUUUCCUCCUCCCACCAGGAAUUUUGAACAAAUUUUGGGCACGUUACCUCAGAAUCCUUCAUCCAAGCGUUUGUUUAUUCUGAAUUUAUCCUGGGCUCAUUCAGUCAGGAAAAGAGGAGGCUCAGGAGAGACCGUAUCCCUCUCUACAGCUACCUGAAAGGAGGUUGUAGCGAGGUGGAGGUCAGCCCCUUCUCCCAGGUAAACAGCGACAGGAUGAGAGGUAAUGGCCUGAAGUUGCUCCAGGGAGGGGAGGUUCACGUUGGAUAUCAGGAAAAAAGUCUUCUCAGAAAGAAAUAAUGCAUAUUGGAACAGGCUGCCAGGGGAGAUAGCGAUGUCACCGUCCCCGAAGGUGUUCAGAAACAUGCAGAUGUGGCACUGAGGGAUGUGGUUCUGUGGGCAUGGUGGUGGUGGGCUGAUGGACUAGAUGAUCUUAUAGGUCUUUUCCAACCGUAAUGAUUCUAUGAUUUUAUGAUUCUACAAUGUACGCGUAGGCUCUAGAGAUGUGCAGGUUGGUCAGCACAGACCUCCCCCACCUUGGGCCCGCUCCACGAAGAUCUAUACCAAAGCAUCUGGAAGUAAAGCUCAACGCUUGCCGCUCUCCUCCUCUAACGCUGAACUUUGUGAGACAGCACAGCAGUGUCUGAGGGACCGUAAGCCUGCUCUACUCCAAGCAGUCAGCCAAGCAGUCGACGUGGUAAUGCGUGGCUCUGUGCUGGCCCAUUUAUCCUUCUUUCAUUGCAUGUGGUGUAGAAGACUUUUGGGUCUUGAUUAGACACAAAGGACUGCUCUGGAUGGUUCUAACACAGCCUACCCA
ensembl:lncRNA